UGCGGGCGGCGGGCGAUGGCGGCGGCACGACUGCGGGUGGCCCUCUGGGUGCUGUGGCAUUUUGGAGUGGGCGGUCGCGGGUUGGAGCUGGCGGGACUGGAGGGCCCGCGGGGGCGCGCGGCGCGGUGCCAGCCUGUGGACAUCCCGAUGUGCCGGGGGAUCGGGUACAACCUGACCCGCAUGCCCAACCUGCUGGGGCACGAGAGCCAGCGGGAGGCCGCCCUGAAGCUGCACGAGUUCGCCCCGCUGGUGGAGUACGGCUGCCACGUUCACCUGCGCUUCUUCCUCUGCUCCCUCUACGCACCCAUGUGCACCGAUCAGGUGAGCGCCAGCAUCCCUGCCUGCCGCCCCAUGUGUGAGCAGGCCCGCCACAAGUGUGUCCCCAUAAUGGAACAGUUCAAUUUCGGCUGGCCUGAGUCACUUGACUGUGGCAGGUUGCCCACCAAGAAUGACCCCAAUGCCCUCUGCAUGGAGGCCCCUGAAAAUGCCUCAGCUGCUGAGCCGCACAAGGGACAGGGGAUGCUGCCUGUGGCCCCCCGGCCCUGGCCACCUGGUACUGCUACCGAGGGACGGGGAGCCAAUGGGCUGGGAGCUUGCGACAAUCCUGAGAAGUUCCAGUACGUGGAGAAGAGCCUCUCCUGCGCACCCAGGUGCUCCCCCGGGGUGGACGUGUAUUGGUCUCGGGAGGACAAGGACUUCGCCUUCAUUUGGAUGGCUGUCUGGUCCACCCUCUGCUUUGUCUCCACUGCCUUCACCGUCCUUACUUUUCUGCUUGACCCCCACCGCUUCCAGUAUCCUGAGAGGCCCAUUAUUUUCCUCUCCAUGUGCUACAACGUCUACUCUGUGGCCUUCAUCAUCCGCUCUGUGGCUGGGGCUGAGAACAUUGCCUGUGACCGGGAGAACGGUGAGCUCUACAUCAUACAGGAGGGGCUGGAGAGCACAGGCUGCACCAUUGUCUUCCUCAUCCUCUACUAUUUCGGCAUGGCUAGCUCUCUCUGGUGGGUUGUGCUCACUCUCACCUGGUUCCUGGCUGCUGGGAAGAAGUGGGGACAUGAGGCCAUCGAGGCCCACAGCAGCUACUUCCACAUGGCCGCCUGGGGCAUCCCAGCCAUGAAGACCAUUGUCAUCCUCACCAUGCGGAAGGUGGCAGGGGAUGAGCUCACGGGGCUGUGCUAUGUGGGGAGCAUGGACAUCAGUGCCCUGACUGGCUUUGUCCUCAUCCCCCUCUCCUGCUACCUGGUCAUUGGCACCUCCUUCAUCCUCACUGGCUUCGUUGCCCUAUUCCACAUCCGGAAGAUCAUGAAGACGGGUGGCACCAACACAGAGAAGCUGGAGAAGCUGAUGGUGAAGAUUGGGGUCUUCUCCAUCCUCUACACCGUCCCGGCCACCUGUGUCAUUGUCUGCUACUUCUACGAGCGGCUGAAUGUGGAUUACUGGAUGCUGCGGGCACUGGAGCAUGGCUGCCUACGCCUGCCUGGCCGCCGUGCCACCGACUGCUCCCUUGAGGCCUCGGUGCCCACUGUGGCUGUCUUCAUGCUAAAGAUUUUCAUGUCACUGGUGGUGGGCAUCACCAGCGGGGUGUGGGUGUGGAGCUCUAAAACGCUGCAGACCUGGCAGAGCCUGUGCAACAGGCGGCUGGGCAUGAGGACGCGGAGCAAGCCCUGCAGUGGGGUCAGCUGUGGUGGGGGACACUGCCAUUACAAAGCCCCUACAGUCAUGCUGCACAUGACCAAGACGGACCCGUACCUGGACAACCCGACUCACGUCUAGAGACGGGGGCUGCCCCCCACACUGGAAGAAGUGGCCUCACGGAAAACCAUGGAGACUCUUCAUGUGAUGAGAUGUGGACUCAACUCAAACUUCAGAGGUCAUUACAGAAAAUAUGACUAAUUCCCUACCUUCUAUAAGAGGACUGCUCAUCAGAAGAGGGAAGACAGGAAAGAGGAGAAUCAACCUCAUUUGGAAACAACUGCAAAGGACCACUCUGUGAUCCUUACCAGAAGAUUCCAGAUCUAAUCUUUCUUCUUGGGCACGAGCUCAGAUGAGUCAAGCAACAACUAGACAAAGAUAUCACUGUGGCUCUUCUUGGAAUACCAGUCUCCACAACGCUUAUUUUUCUGGCAGAAAUACUUACUAAACACCAUAUCGGAAAGUAUUUCAUAAUUCUAUGUAUGGUCCUACUAGGGUAAUAGCCUCACAAUCUGCAUUCAGCUAGGAAAUUCAUUACUCUAAUAGAACAUAGGACUGAUUGCUCAACAAUGGAAGCCAGAUGUCUUCAAGCCAGUCAUCUUAAGUACACCUGACCCCGUGGAGCAUCCUCACUCUGUACUCUGAGAUUAAAACCUUUGGGCACCAUACUCUCUGCACCUCUCCCUGAAGAAUAGGACAGAGCAGCUUCAGAUAUCCUUCACCUACUAGAAUCUGUCACCGCUGGGGAAUGGCAUAAUCCAGACACCAAACCAUCUGCUCUACAGAUACUCUGCACAGAAAUAUUUCCCAGACACCUUGAGAUGGGUUGCCCAGGUCAGGAUAAAACAACAUCUGACAUUGCUGGUGAUACACCAUGGAAUCCAGCUAGACAAAUAUUCAAGAUGAUAAUGCCUGGGCUAUCCCUGUUUUCUCCCAUGGAGACAAAGGGGGCACUCACUGCACUGUUCUGUCAACUGUAAAAAAGAAAGGGCUCUGGAAACAGUCAUCAUGUAGGGUUUCUACUCUCCAGUAUUUUGGGGAAAGACAAAACAGGCUGCUAGGCAGCUGCAGAAAACAGCUCCCACCCUUUUAAGAAAGCCAGAGUUAAGCCCUGGUACAACUUUGUUCCUGAUGAAAAGGAUAUGGGACAGGGAAGGAAGAACAUCAACAGGUACUUAAUCUUCCCAGUUCACCUUGAGAGUAAGAACUGGGAUUUCUGGGACAGGGAACUGAUCUAAUUAAGCCUGAACUGAAGCCUGAACCUAAGCCUGAUCUGCAAAAUACAAACAUAUUGGAGACAUCAUGUUAAUUUGAUUACUGACCCCUUUCUGCUCUGUGCAGCCACAGCUCCUGCUUCCCAAACUAGCUCCAGGCAUGCCCUACUUGUAGGAAUUACCUGCACAUCCAGCUGGAGCUCAACCACUUCCAAGCUGGGAGCACUGACAUGGUUGAAUGAUGGCUCCACUGGCUCUUGGACUGGCUACCCUGUCAGCAGGGCAGUGAUAAUAUCAGCAACAGAGGUCUGCGGAGCUGCUGAACCAACCCAACUGCUCAGCACUGACAAAGGAACAGGCCUUCGAUUGUUAAGUUUCCAAAGGAAUGUGCUGAAAUCCUGCCCACUGGCUGCAGCAGCGGCUGAGAGAUGAAAACAGCUGGAAGCAAAGAGUUGAUCAGGAACACAGCUGGUCAGCAUUUGAAACAGCUCUUGUAACAUGGAGGAGCUUGGAAUGAUACACCUCUAGCUCAGUCAGUCUCAAAGACACAGGUGCCUGUAAAAUUACACCUGGAUGAAGGAUCUCACUGUAUGUUUGCCCUGUUCUAUUCCUCUACAGGUAUCUAGUCUGCCCCUUGUCUAAGACAAUCCUACCAGGUGAGGGCUUGGAUCUAACUCCAUAAGCUCCCCUAUGCAGGAUUGCUGUGGAUGGACUCAGUGCCAGAACAUGAUGUUCCAAAAGCAAGAAAUGAUCACGACUGAAACUCAGUUGAGUCAGAUUAUUGCAGCAUCUUCCAUCUCAAGAACUACUUGCACACAGAAAUGUUAAGUUUCCUUCUGUACAGAUAGAUUUCUGUGCCUGUUCAAGCUUGCGAGGCUCCAGGACCCAGGCUCCAAGUCAGCCAGGCAAAACCACAGAGGAAGCACUAGAAGUUCAGCCAGUCCCUUCCACCUCACCUGCACAUUCAGCAAAGGUGAAUAGAAGGUUGAUAGGAAGUGCAUGAGGGAUGUUCACCAAAACAAUCUCAAUCAGCAAAGCUAUGCAUAUCUAACAGACUGCCCUGCUUGUUACUAUUCCAUAGGCUGAUCUAGGAGUCUUGGCACCAGCGGAAUAUCAGCACUGUGACAGACCUCCUCACUCUGCAGCACAACUAGCUAAUUGUGCAAGGGGUCUGGCACACUGCAACUCAGCAGGGUCAGAGUGAACCAGAGGGAUGAUACCAACUGACAUCAACCUUGCUACUUGAAGGACAGGACUGUCCUUAGGUGGAGGCAAGUCUCCAGACCUGCAGCAGCAGAAUGGAACUAUCACCAGCACCUCCUCUGUGCAGGCUUCUAGAGUUUAAAGGAGGGUUAAAUCAGAGCAUACCCAUGAAAACAGUCGGUCUAGACAGUUCUUUCACACUCAUGACUCCAUUUGAAUAGUCAGAGCAGAGGAAAUACCCUCAAGAGACCAUACCUCCAGGGCUGUAGUCCUUCUUUGAAUCUUCCUUUUUCUGAUGGGGAAGGGUAAAUCUGUAGUCUAUACUCUCAUGUACCCAGCCUUUCUCAAUAAACAAGCCAGGAACUUCAUCUGAAAA